rnacentral:rRNA from 1 species
AACGAACGCUGGCGGCGCGCCUAAUACAUGCAAGUCGAGCGAGAAGACGUAGCAAUACGUUUGUAAAGCGGCGAACGGGUGAGGAAUACAUGGGUAACCUACCCUCGAGUGGGGAAUAACUAGCCGAAAGGUUAGCUAAUACCGCGUACGCUCCUUGGACUUCGGUUCAGGGAGGAAAGCGAUACCGUGGGUAUCGCGCUCUUGGAUGGGCUCAUGUCCUAUCAGCUUGUUGGUGAGGUAACGGCUCACCAAGGCUUCGACGGGUAGUUGGUCUGAGAGGACGAUCAGCCACACUGGCACUGCGACGCGGGCCAGACUCCUACGGGAGGCAGCAGUAAGGAAUAUUGCGCAAUGGGCGAAAGCCUGACGCAGCGACGCCGCGUGGGGGAUGAAGGUCUCGGAUUGUAAACCCCUUUCGGGAGGGAAGAUGGAACGAGCAAUCGUUCGGACGGUACCU